rnacentral:lncRNA from 1 species
GUUUUGUUUGUUUUUGUUUCUAAAUUGUCUUUGACAGUGAGACAAAUGGCUGACAUCACAACAGGCAGUAACCUCAGGGUAUGUGGUAAAUCAUGGUGGUCUAACUUUUCCAGAGAGAGAGAGAGACAGUGAUGUGUCUGUGAUGGGCUGUGGGGAUUGGACUUGCUAGCUGAUUUAUUUCCAGUGUUUUACAAACUAAGUGUAACUUACUUUCUAACCUGCAUGUUGUCACAUGCUUUGCUCGCUAGUUACUAUCUACUGCCUUUUAAGCAGGGAUAUAUUCUUUUUAUAGAUAUCUGCUGAGCUCACGUUUAGGGUAGCAGAAGGGAUUGUGACAUUUAGUCCCCUCCCACAAGCAGCUUGAGCAAGGAGUUUUGUUCAUUCCGUGAGGAAGGCCAGGUUCCCAGGACAGAUUUUGGAGUAACUGACAGGGCUUGUCUCUAGGCAGAUACCAUUGGGCAGAGCAGAAAGGUUGUUCGGGGCUUUUAGAUUCUUGUCUUGCCUUUCAGAAGAUCAUUCUUAGAGAGCUGGAUGGAGUCAGGGAGUCCAGCUGCUUUUAUGGUAGUUGGACCGUGGCCACUGAGAGUCUAAAAUAGGACCAGUGAGUGCCCUUUCAGUAGCACUAAAAUGGAAGUCAAAGAUAGUGGUGAGGCCAGGGAAUGACCAAGUACCGCGGAUGUUUUCUAUCAUGCUAGCUAAGAUCUUUUAAGCAGUUUCUUUGGGUAACAAAAUAAGAGCUGGAGUGGGUUUCUUUGUAAACAGAAAUAAUCCUCCAUGGAUUCUCGAUUGUGAUAUUCUUGGUAAGCAUCCUUGACUGCAGCGCUCACCUGUAGAGAUUUCUGUAACUCUAUAGUAGUGAGCAUCAGAGCUGCUCGCCCACUCUGCUGUCCCAUGUUAACAUUCAGAUAGCCUUAUCAGAGCAGCCAUUCCAGAGACAAAGACUCAGUUAUGCCCAAUGGUUAGCUCAUUUCAAAAUGUCCCAAGGGAGCAGAAUUCAGCAUUGAACUCAGAAUUUCAGUUUAAAAAAAAAAUCCCGGGGCUGGGGAUUUAGCUCAAUGGUAGAGCACUCGCCUAGGAAGCGCAAGGCCCUGGGUUCGCUCCCCAGCUCCGAAAAAAAGAACAAAACAAACAAACAAACAAAAAAAAAUCCCCCCUUUUUGGGCAGAAUGGAAGACAGUAAUGACCAAGGUACAUGGGAAGCCACGUGCUCUUGCCCUUCUUGCCUCAUGGAGCAUUAAGUGGGUGACAGCCGAAGAAAAUACAGUCCUGCUUUCUUGAGUGAGAUUUUAUGACCUAUGCUUUGAACAGGCAGCAGGGUCUGUGUGGCUGAGAGUUUAAUUUGGUGCCUUUAUGGGUAGACUCUCUGUAGUCUUCUGAAGCAAGAGUAAAAUUUCUUCCCAGAUACUUAAAAACCGUCACUAGAGCAGGUGGGGUGUGUUUGCCGCAAAGAAUGAGAAAGAUACCAGAGAGGAAGAAAAAGAGGACAUAAGAUCCUUCCCCUUUCGAGUGCUUCAGUUGUAGUUGGCCUGUAUAGGACUUGCCGUGUUAAUUUAGCAUUUAUUUCCUCUGGUCCCAUGUGCUCUGUGUUUACACGUUCACUGUGUACACCUGUUCUCCGUAUGUAUCUAUGAUAUGGGAUCUAAUAGAGUUUGCCCUUGAUUCUCAGCCAGGUGGCAACCCUCAUUAACCUGUUGCUUUGUGUGGGCUCGGUGUGCCCAUGGCCCACAUCUAAAGCCACGUCCCCCCUGGAACCGUGAUCCUUCCCCUCCAGGUUAUCUCGGCCCUGAGAAAGCCCUCCAAGUAUAUCCAGUUCCACGUCCCUUUCACCAGGGAACUUGGAGCCAGAAAGACUGGUUUCGAGAAUGCUGGCUAUUAUCUUUGGGGUUGAGGUUUCUGGGUCUCCCAGGCCCUCUUUCGGCUGGGAGGAGCUUUGGGAGCGGUGUGCUUGCGGACGCCAUCUGGGAGAUACUUGAUCUUGCUGAAGCAGAGCUCUGAGCCUGCUUCACUUCACCGGAAUGUUCCAAGUCUUGUGGUUGGAUGUAUAGUAGCAUACUCUGGGUCGUUUGAGUGUGGGUUCUGCAUUCUCUGUGUUACCGUUCCCCGUCAUUAGUCCAUAUAAUCAGGACCUGACUGUUGUCACCGGAGUCUAGAAACCUUGACCCUUGACCUUUCAACUGGAUUUUAUGUUUGUGUCUGCUGCUAUGGACUCCAACUUUAAGGCAGUAGGUUUUAGUUUUCAAUGGUUUAAUUCUUUAUUGAUAAAUAUUUAUUGUAAUAAAAAAAUAAAUAAUUUUUAAAUCCUUUUAA